UACGGAGGGGGCUAGCGUUGUUCGGAAUUACUGGGCGUAAAAGCGCACGUAGGCGGCUUUGUAAGUUAGAGGUGAAAGCCCGGGGCUCAACUCCGGAAUUGCCUUUAAGACUGCAUCGCUAGAACGUCGGAGAGGUAAGUGGAAUUCCGAGUGUAGAGGUGAAAUUCGUAGAUAUUCGGAAGAACACCAGUGGCGAAGGCGACU
rnacentral:rRNA from 1 species